rnacentral:rRNA from 1 species
UCAAGACGAACGCCUGGCGGCGUGCUUAACACAUUGCAAGUUCAAACGGAAAGGGCUCUCACCUGGCGGGGGCGCUCCGAGCGGCGAAACGGGUCGAGUAACACGUGGGUGAUUCUGCCCCGUACUUUCGGGAUAAGCUUCGGGAAAACUGGGUCUAAUACCGGAUAGGACCAUGGUUUAGUGUCUCAUGGUGGAAAAGAUUAUUGUUUUGGUGCAGGAUGAGCUCGCGGCCUAUCAGCUUGUUGGUGGGGUAAUGGCCUACCAAGGCGUCGACGGGUAGCCGGCCUGAGAGGGUGGACGGCCACAUUGGGACUGAGAUACGGCCCAGACUCCUACGGGAGGCAGCAGUGGGGAAAUAUUGCACAAUGGGCGCAAGCCUGAUGCAGCGACCCCGCGUGGGGGAUGUACGGCCUUCGGGUUUGUAAACUCCUUUCGUUAGGGACGAAACCGCACCUUUUUUUGGGUGUGGUGACGGUACCUUUGUUAAGAAGCACCGGCUAACUACGUGCCAGCAGCCGCGGUAAUACGUAGGGUGCGAGCGUUGUCCGGAAUUACUGGGCGUAAAGAGCUCGUAGGUGGUUUGUUGCGUCGUCUGUGAAAUUCCGGGGCUUAACUUCGGGGUGGCAGGCGAUACGGGCAUAACUAGAGUGCUGUAGGGGAGACUGGAAUUCCUGGUGUAGCGGUGGAAUGCGCAGAUAUCAGGAGGAACACCGAUGGCGAAGGCAGGUCUCUGGGCAGUAACUGACGCUGAGGAGCGAAAGCAUGGGGAGCGAACAGGAUUAGAUACCCUGGUAGUCCAUGCUGUAAACGGUGGGCGUUAGGUGUGGGGACCGGUUUGGUUUCUGUGCCGUAGCUAACGCAUUAAGCGCCCCGCCUGGGGAGUACGGCCGCAAGGCUAAAACUCAAAGGAAUUGACGGGGGCCCGCACAAGCGGCGGAGCAUGUGGAUUAAUUCGAUGCAACGCGAAGAACCUUACCUGGGUUUGACAUGCACCAGACGGUUGUAGAGAUACGUACCUCCCUUUGUGGUUGGUGUGCAGGUGGUGCAUGGUCGUCGUCAGCUCGUGUCGUGAGAUGUUGGGUUAAGUCCCGCAACGAGCGCAACCCUUGUCUUAUGUUGCCAGCACGUUUGGGUGGGGACUCAUGAGAGACUGCCGGGGUUAACUCGGAGGAAGGUGGGGAUGAACGUCGAAUCAUCGUGCCCUUUAUGCCCGGGGCUCUACGCUUGCUACGAUGGUGAGGACAACGCGCGGCGAACUCUGUGAGGGUGAAGCGAACGCUGAAAGGCUAUUCUCGGUUCGGAUUGGGGUCUCGACCGCGAACCCCGUAAAGUCGAAGCGCGUAGGAUCGCGGUCUCGGCGAAUGCUCCGGUAAAGACGCCCUCGGGC